UCCAGACUCCUACGGGAGGCAGCAGUGAGGAAUAUUGGUCAAUGGGCGGGAGCCUGAACCAGCCAUGCCGCGUGAAGGCGAGUGCCCUACGGGUGUUAAACUUCUUUUGUGCGGGAGCAAUAAGGGCCACGUGUGGCCCGAUGAGAGUACCGCACGAAUAAGCAUCGGCUAACUCCGUGCCAGCAGCCGCGGUAAUACGGAGGAUGCGAGCGUUAUCCGGAUUUAUUGGGUUUAAAGGGUGCGUAGGUGGUUAAUUAAGUCAGCGGUGAAAGUUUGUGGCUCAACCAUAAAAUUGCCGUUGAAACUGGUUGACUUGAGUAUAUUUGAGGUAGGCGGAAUGCGUGGUGUAGCGGUGAAAUGCUUAGAUAUCACGAAGAACCCCGAUUGCGAAGGCAGCUUACUAAACUGUGACUGACAUUGAUGCUCGAAAGUGUGGGUAUCAAACAGGAUUAGAUACCCCGGUA
rnacentral:rRNA from 1 species